AUUGAACGCUGGCGGCAGGCCUAACACAUGCAAGUCGAACGAGUGGCGGACGGGUGAGUAAUGUCUGGGAAACUGCCCGAUGGAGGGGGAUAACUACUGGAAACGGUAGCUAAUACCGCAUACCACUUGAUGUGCCCAGAUGGGAUUAGUUGGUAGGUGGGGUAACGGCUCACCUAGGCGCCGAUCCCUAGCUGGUCUGCGAGGAUGACCAGCAACACUGGAACGGAAACACGGUCCAGACUCCUACGGGAGGCAGCAGUGGGGAAUAUUGCACAAUGGGGGCAAGCCUAAUGCGGCCAUGCCGCGUGUAUGAGGAGGGCUUUCGGGUUGUAAAGUACUUUCAGCGAGGAGGCGUUACUCGCAGAGGAAGCGCCGGCUAACUCCGUGCCAGCAGCCGCGGUAAUUC
rnacentral:rRNA from 1 species